GACGAACGCUGGCGGCGUGCUUAACACAUGCAAGUCGAACGAAGAGCGAUGGAAGCUUUCUUCUAUCAAUCUUAGUGGCGAACGGGUGAGUAACGCGUAAUCAACCUGCCCUUCAGGGGGGGACAACAGUUGGAAACGACUACUCAUACCACAUACGAUCUAACCUCGGCAUCGAGGAUAGAUGUACGGUGGCCGCUACAUGUAAGCCAUCACUUAAGGAUGGGAUUGCGUCUGAUUAGGUAGUUGGAGGGGUAACGGCCCCCCAAGGCGAGGAUCAGUAGCCGGGCUGAGUGGAUGAACGGCCAGAGUGAGACUGAGACACGGCCCAGACUGCUACGGGAGGCAGCAGUGGGGAAUCGUCCGCAAGGGAUGAAAGUCUGACCGAGCAACGCCGCGGGAGGGAUGACGGCCUUCGGGUUGUAAAGCUCUGUUAAUCGGGACGAAAGGCCUUCUUGCGAAUAGUUAGAAGGAUUGACGGUACCGGAAUAGAAAGCCACGGCUAACUACGUG
rnacentral:rRNA from 1 species